CGCCCACUAGCUAGCUCACCCAACAUCAUAACAUUUAUAUAUAAAUAUACACACAUCAACAAAUAAACAAACAAAUCAUUUUUCCACUUUAGUAUAGG
rnacentral:rRNA from 1 species